rnacentral:rRNA from 1 species
AUACGGAGGGUCCAAGCGUUAUCCGGAAUCAUUGGGUUUAAAGGGUCCGCAGGCGGUCAAUUAAGUCAGAGGUGAAAGCCCAUCGCUCAACGAUGGAACUGCCUUUGAUACUGGUUGACUUGAGUUAUACGGAAGUAGAUAGAAUAAGUAGUGUAGCGGUGAAAUGCAUAGAUAUUACUUAGAAUACCGAUUGCGAAGGCAGUCUACUACGUAUAUACUGACGCUGAGGGACGAAAGCGUGGGGAGCGAACAGUAUUAGAAACCCUAGUAGUCC